UAAAGAAUAAAGAAAGAAACCUUGGAAUAUUUAAAAACAUCCAAUGAAAAGGAAAACCUUAGUAUUCUGCAAACAAACUUGGAAAGUUGAGAAUUUGACCGCCAUCAGAAUUCGGAAGCGAUACACAUCUGAUUUGACGACUGAAUCUUCUAAGUUCGUAAAUUGCUGGGUUUGCGUGUAGGCGAUAUGAGCAACAUUACUUUCAUGAGUAUGGAUAGAAAUCAAAAGUUGCUGUUUUUCUGAAGCCUCAUGUUAGUUGCAACCAUGACAAAUUUGGGGUGUUGUGUCACCUGGGAAACCCUUGGCAUGUUGGCACUACCAUUUGGAAAUGCAAGGGAAUUUUAAGGACCUUUGUGAAGAAUUCAACUUUGCCAUUUUGAUGGGCUUUGUCAAUUUGAAUGGAUAGAGGGCUUAAAAUAAUACUGCUUCUUCAUCAUCAUGGAUCAGAGCGAUGCUGUUGCUACCAAGCUGGACAUGUCAAAAUUGUGAGGAAAUUUUAGUAUGGGACUGACGGAGCGAAAUUUUCACCCACACCAUAUAAUGCGUAUAAAGACACUUGACAGAAUCAGCAAUAGGUUCAAAACAAGGCAGUGGAAAUAAAAAAAAUAUUAUUCUGGGAUAAAGUAUCAUCGUCUGGAAGUGCGUGCCAUCGAUAUUUGUCUAAGAAUGAUUGUAGAGAGGCACUCACACAGAGGAACAUCAAUAUACUUGCGAAUACCCAGGCUGCAUUCAAAGGGUUGAAAACCGUUGGAAGCUGUAUCCUAGAGGGAAACUAAUAAGACAACCUUCUCGCAGGAAGGAGUCAGGAACUUCACCGAUAGGACCACGACCAAUAUUGGCAUUUUCUCAUCUAUUGCUAAGAAAUCCACUACAAGAAUCUUGCCUAUACUGGCUGUGAUUAUGACCCAUUUCAAGACAUUAAAAGAUUGCCCUAUGAAGAAACUCAAAAAAGAAUUUAUAAAAAUAGAAAUACAAUGAGCUACAUAAUACAGCAUAACAGCAUGAGUGGCGAAACGUCAGAAACAACAACAACCGGCGCAGGAGGAAGGCAGAGUUAAUUUUGAAUUAACCAAAUUGAUAUUACGAAGUCCAGUGCCGUCCCGGGAUGUAUCCUAAUUGUAUUGUCAAAGAAAUGUACGCCGUUGACAUUUGCAAUUAUCCUUAUUUACUUUGAAUAAGCCAAUAAGACUCGCAACGUUUCUGACUCUUAACUAGUUUGCGUAUCUUGCUUGUUUUUGUGAGAAAAAAUAAUUGGUUCUAAAAAUUAGCAAAAUCAGUUUAAAGAUUUCCAGGUGUUAGGUGUUAUAUUUUAUUUGAAGCCAUAUUUGAUAAAUAUAGUACUUGAUUUCUAUUUAGAUUAAAAAUAAAAUACAAUCUUUUUAGUGUAGAAAAACGUAUAAAAGAGCACAACACUAACUAGGUAACAUUUGCUUAAAUCAACCAAAAAAUGCUAUAAUAUGCACGUAAUUUACGGCUUUAUUUUUGUCAAUUAUCUACAUCAUCUUCAUAAGAAGAAUUUUCCUAUAGUGACAUUUGAGGGAGAAUUACUCCUUGAUCGAUUGACUGAACUUGUGUUAGGUGGCAUAAAAUUUUAGUUGUUCUCAUUCCACAUAGGGGUGUGACAGACAAUUGUGAAGAAGUAAAAUUUUCCUGUUCCUCGUUUUCAGUUCAUCCAAUUCACGUAACUCAGCUGUAAAGAUCUCAAGCUUUACUGUUUGAUUUAUACUUUAUGUUUUUAAAACAUUUUGGAUUAACAGAUUUUCAUAUCCCCAACAAUUUCCUUUCUGCUCCAGACAUGUUUUCCGCUAGUAGCACUGUAACUUUUCUUUAGACAAUUUGCCUGAAGCACAUUGUGCGCCAAGAUAUUGCAGUGUUGUCUUGGGUGUCAUUUUAUAAAAGUAGGCCUUUUUUAUCCGCAUUAAAAAUUUCUUUGUGAUCAAAUUUUCUCUCAGGGUAGGCAAUGAAACGUUCUAUCCAACUUUAGAACAGUUACUUCUGAUUUUUAAACCCUAGUUCCCAAUUCACUUAUAGGAACGUUUUAUUCCCUUUUCUCCCACUUUUCCGUUAUCAACUUCUUUAUGCUUAGAUUUUCUUAAUUUCUUACAUUUAACAUUUGUUUUGUCAUAGGCUGAUAAGUUGCGCAUGUGGAAUUUAGUAAGGUCUCGAUAAUUAGAAAAAGAGUAUUAGUGAGCUAUGAAAAGACCGCUUGUUCAGUAAGAAGUAUGGGAAAGCUUAAAUAUCUCCAAAACUGCCAAAGCUGGUACGAUUAAAUUCAACGCAUGUGGGUUUUUGAAUUACCAGAAUUCAAAAAUUCUAACGGCAAUGUUAAAUUAAAUGCCUUAUAGAACGACGUGGAUGCAGCGAGUUUGGCACCUGACGUUUCUAUAGCUUAGUAUAAAUAUUUGUAAAUAAUUCAAUAAAAAUUAAUAUCUAACAAAUCGUUUUGUAUUGACUACCUUUUUGGUUAUAUUCUAUUCUAUAACUAUUUGGUUACUUACUAUUCUCCCCUUACAGUAUCACCGAUGCAUAAAUAAGUCCACUC